AUAAGUCUUCGGGGCGGGGUGAAAUUCCCUACCGGCGGUGAAAGUCCGCGAACUUCGGGAACACGGUGUUUCCGGAGCCGAUCCGGUGCGAUUCCGGAACCGACAGUAAAGUCUGGAUGAAAGAAGGCUGAC
rnacentral:ncRNA from 20 species